UACGUAGGUGGCAAGCGUUGUCCGGAUUUACUGGGCGUAAAGGGCGUGCAGGCGGUUUGCUAAGUCCAGGGUGAAAGCUCCCGGCUUAACUGGGAGAGGUCCUUGGAUACUGGCAGACUUGAGGAGGGUAGAGGAGAGUGGAAUUCCCGGUGUAGUGGUGAUAUGCGUAGAUAUCGGGAGGAACACCAGUGGCGAAGGCGGCUCUCUGGGCCCUACCUGACGCUGAGACGCGAAAGCGUGGGGAGCGAACCGG
rnacentral:rRNA from 1 species